UGGGACUGGCACGGCAGACAGGACAGCACCCAGGGGGGUCAAGGGCGCUGGCGAGACCAGACUAGGCAAGACGGGCGGGGUGGAGUGAGUGCGAUUUCUGGGGGGAGGAGGUUGGGGCGCAGGCAGGGGUGAGGAGCGAGCGGGGCCUGGACUCCGGAGCCCGCGGCCAAGGCGGGCCUGUGCGGGCGGCGAUGGAGCAGUGAUCGGUGCCUCUGCGCUCGGACUGGAGGCGAGGCCAGGUCUCCAGUGGGGGUGGACGUGCCCGCCAGCCACCGAAGGCGGGUGCCAGGAUGUGCUCAGAAAGACAUGACAUGGUCCGGUGUGACGGUGAGGAUGGACGUGACGGUAUCCAGCCUUCCUGAACAUCUUUGGCUGGCCCCGGGGGCGCUGCGACACCCGGCAGGUCUCUGUUCCUUUACUUUCCUGAAGGAGUCAACACACUACUGCUGCUCUCUGGACCCCAAGAACCCUCAAGAUGACAAGGUUAAGCUAAAGGAACCAGAUGGACCUGCCGCCAACACCACCGGAAGUGAGCAGCGCCCACGGCUGCCCCACCCCCACCUGGGGACUCGUCUUCGUCUUCAUGGCCACCCCUGCGGGG
rnacentral:lncRNA from 1 species